UACGGGGGGAGCAAGCGUUGUUCGGAUUUACUGGGCGUAAAGGGCGCGUAGGCGGCGUGACAAGUCACUUGUGAAAUCUCCGGGCUUAACUCGGAGCGGUCAAGUGAUACUGUCGUGCUAGAGUGCGGAAGGGGCUACUGGAAUUCUCGGUGUAGCGGUGAAAUGCGUAGAUAUCAGGAGGAACACCAGCGGCGAAGGCGGCGCUCUGGGCCGGAACUGACGCUGAGGAGCGAAAGCGUGGGGAGCAAACAGG
rnacentral:rRNA from 1 species